rnacentral:rRNA from 1 species
UACGUAGGGACCGAGCGUUGUCCGGAAUCAUUGGGCGUAAAGAGCGUGUAGGCGGCCACUUAAGUCCUGCGUGAAAUCUUGCGGCUCAACCGCAAGCGGUCGUGGGAAACUGGGUGGCUAGAGUGCGGGAGAGGAGAGUGGAAUUCCUGGUGUAGCGGUGGAAUGCGCAGAUAUCAGGAAGAACACCCGUGGCGAAGGCGGCACUCUGGGACGGUACUGACGCUGAGACGCGAAAGCGUGGGGAGCGAACAGG